AGAGCUCAAAUUUAAAAUCUGGCGGUCGCUUGGCCGUCCGAGUUGUAAGCUAGAGAAGUGCCAUCCGCGCUGGGGCCAUGUACAAGUCUCCUGGAACGGAGCGUCAUAGAGGGUGAGAAUCCCGUCUCUGACAUGGACCUCCCAGGGCAUCGCGAUGGCGCUCUCAAGGAGUCGAGUUGUUUGGGAAUGCAGCUCCAAAUGGGUGGUAAAUUCCAUCUAAAGCUAAACAUUGGCGAGAGACCGAUAGCGAA
rnacentral:rRNA from 1 species